rnacentral:tRNA from 1 species
GGCUCCGUAGUUCAAUUGGAUAGAAUAUCGGAUUUCGGCUCCGAGGGUUGUGGGUUCGAGUCCCGCCGGAGUCA